rnacentral:rRNA from 1 species
UCAGACUGCAGGCUGCAACUCGCCUGCACGAAGUCGGAAUUGCUAGUAAUCGCGGAUCAGAAUGCCGCGGUGAAUACGUUCCCGGGCCUUGUACACACCGCCCGUCACACCAUGGGAGUCGGUAACACCCGAAGUCGGUGGUCUAACCGCAAGGAGGACGCCGCCGAAGGUGGGAUUGAUGACUGGGGUGAAGUCGUAACAAGGUAUC